AGCAGCCGCGGUAAUUCCAGCUCCAAUAGCGUAUAUUAAAGUUGCUGCAGUUAAAAAGCUCGUAGUUGAAUUUCGGGGUCAGUAGGUCGGUCGUGCCACAGGUAUGCACUGGUCUCACUGAUUCCUCCUUCCUGAUGAACCGUAAUGCCAUUAAUUUGGUGUUGCGGGGAGACUGGACUGUUACUUUGAAAAAAUUAGAGUGUUUAAAGCAGGCUAACGCUUGAAUACAUUAGCAUGGAAUAACGGAAUAGGACGUUCGAUCUUAUUUUGUUGGUUUCUAAGAUUGACGUAAUGAUUAAUAGGGAUAGUUGGGGGCAUUAGUAUUCAAUUGUCAGAGGUGAAAUUCUUGGAUUUAUUGAAGACUAACUACUGCGAAAGCAUUUGCCAAGGAUGUUUUCAUUAAUCAAGAACGAAAGUUAGGGGAUCGAAGACGAUCAGAUACCGUCGUAGUCUUAACCAUAAACUAUGCCGACUAGGGAUCGGAUGAUGUUAAUUUUUUAAUGUACUCAU
rnacentral:sRNA from 1 species